rnacentral:rRNA from 1 species
UACGUAGGGGGCUAGCGUUGUCCGGAAUUACUGGGCGUAAAGCGCACGUAGGCGGCUUUGCAAGUUAGAGGUGAAAGCCCGGGGCUCAACUCCGGAAUUGCCUUUAAAACUGCAUCGCUAGAAUUGUGGAGAGGUAAGUGGAAUUCCGAGUGUAGAGGUGAAAUUCGUAGAUAUUCGGAAGAACACCAGUGGCGAAGGCGGCUUACUGGACACAUAUUGACGCUGAGGUGCGAAAGCGUGGGGAGCAAACAGG